rnacentral:rRNA from 1 species
GUGCGAAGCGUGGGGAGCAAACAGGAUUAGAUACCUGGUAGUCACGCUGUAAACGAUGUCGAUUUGGAGGUUGUUCCCUUGAGGAGUGGCUUCCGGAGCUAACGCGUUAAAUCGACCGCUGGGGAGUACGGCCGCAAGGUUAAAACUCAAAUGAAUUGACGGGGGCCCGCACAAGCGGUGGAGCAUGUGGUUUAAUUCGAUGCAACGCGAAGAACCUUACCUACUCUUGACAUCCAGAGAAUUUAGCAGAGAUGCUUUAGUGCCUUCGGGAACUCUGAGACAGGUGCUGCAUGGCUGUCGUCAGCUCGUGUUGUGAAAUGUUGGGUUAAGUCCCGCAACGAGCGCAACCCUUAUCCUUUGUUGCCAGCACAUUAUGGUGGGAACUCAAAGGAGACUGCCGGUGAUAAACCGGAGGAAGGUGGGGAUGACGUCAAGUCAUCAUGGCCCUUACGAGUAGGGCUACACACGUGCUACAAUGGCGUAUACAAAGAGAAGCGACCUCGCGAGAGCAAGCGGAACUCAUAAAGUACGUCGUAGUCCGGAUUGGAGUCUGCAACUCGACUCCAUGAAGUCGGAAUCGCUAGUAAUCGUAGAUCAGAAUGCUACGGUGAAUACGUUCCCGGGCCUUGUACACACCGCCCGUCACACCAUGGGAGUGGGUUGCAAAAGAAGUAGGUAGCUUAACCUUCGGGAGGGCGCUUACCACUUUGUGAUUCAUGACUGGGGUGAAGUCGUAACAAGGUAACCA